rnacentral:rRNA from 1 species
UGGGGAAUAUUGGACAAUGGGCGAAAGCCUGACGCAGCAACGCCGCGUGCAGGAGGAAGGCCCUCUGGGUUGUAAAAUGCUUUAGCAGGGGAAGAAAAGGCUCAUGCGUGAGACAUUGACGGUACCCUGAGAAUAAGCACCGGCUAACUACGUGCCAGCAGCCGCGGUAAUACGUAGGGUGCGAGCGUUAUCCGGAAUUAUUGGGCGUAAAGCGUCCGUAGGUGGUUGUUCACGUCUGCUGUUAAUGCG